GAGAGAGAGAGAGUGUGUGUGUGUGUGUGUAUGUAUGUGUGAGAGGGAGAGUCUGUGUAUGUGAGAGAGGGUGAGAGUGUUUGUGUGUGUGUGAGAGAGAAAGCCAGAGAUAACUUUUACUUAAAUAAAACUUCUGUGUGCACACAUGCUUCUUUCAAGUCAUUUCCAUUGUCAGUUUGAAAUACUCUAUAUUGUUUCUCCACACUUGUUUGGAUUUCUUUCUUCAUGUAAGUGCAGAUAGUCUUGGCAGAAAUGCAUUAUGUUCCUUGUUGUCUUCUGUAAACAACACUGAAGGGAUUAUUUCCCUCACUUCAAUCUAUAUAUAUAUAUAUAUAUAUAUGUCUAUAUAGACCCAUACACUAAUACAAAAUUACUAACUUAAAGGUUAACUAUUAGUCAAGUCUGCUUUGUUGUCAAUUCUUCCAUAUGUACAGUACAUACAUACAGAGAAUCGAAGACCCCCGGUGCAUACAGAUAACAUUAACAGUACAGCCUAAAAAUCUAGGUCAAAUAUAAAAUGUAGACACAACUGUACAAUAAGGGAAUGUAAAGAAGACAUAAUCAAGUUAAAUAAAGCGGCACAAGGCAGAUCGAGUGCAAAUCAGUGAGGUGAACAAACAGUGCAGAUAAAAAGAUUUUUAGUGCAAAAAGAAGCUUACUCAGUCUGAUUAAAUUGACAAAGGGCUCAAGAGCAGUUAUUUUAUUUAACUGACAGGUGAGUUGGUAGAAUGACGCCAGUUCGAUUAGCAACUUUUAAUAAAUAAAUAAAUAACUACACAAACGGCCUUUGACAAUACUACUGACCUCGGACCAAAGAGUUAAGUAAAUUAAGCCUAAUACCAGCAAUGAAUCGCAAAAGUAUGGAGGAAAGUGAUCAUGUAUUUUCAUGUAACGACUCGCAAAUCCUUUAUUAUUUUGGAUUGGCAACUACAUAAACACAUAGUAAUGCAUAGCGUAAAGCUACAUUUAAAAGCAUCCAACUAGACUCGUUGUUAAAUGUUAAACACGAUACAACUAACGUUACACAAAUAUGCCGCAAGUUGUGCCGCCUUGCCGUCAAGUGUUUUAGUAGGUACCGAUAGUGUAGGAAAACAGUGACGUUUUCUUCUACGUAAUUACGCGCAUGCGUAGAACGGAUCGUGCAGGUGGAACGGAUCGUGUACCGACAGACACUUCUCUAUCCCAUGAGGCACCGGGAGAGGGCUCGUCAUACUCAUAUUCGAAAAUAACGGAAAAUCGGAGGAUCGUGACGCUGCUGUUUUGAAGUAGACUGAUGAACACAAUCUUGUUCUCAUCCACUGAUGAAACCCUAUUCACUGGAAAGCAUAAUUCAGUAAUCUGCUCUUGAAGAGCUGCACACGGUCGUCUGCUGUGACACAGCUGUGGUCCAUUUGACCAGCACAUGCUCUUCUGUGCUGACUUCUGUGUUUUGGGGUUCCAGUGUAUCAUCGUCAUGAUCCUCCACAACUUCUGGAUCAGCAAUGUCCUCACUCACAGCAAUGUUGUGGAGCACUGCACAGCAUGCAACAACAUCUGCACAAAGCAGAACUCACUUCCAGGGCCUUGAAGAAGAAGAUGGAGCACAGCUGGUCUUCAUCAUCUGAAGGCUCUCUCAACAAUGUUCUGUGCACGAGCAUCAUUGGUGUUGAAUCAAAGCUGUGCAGGAUUGUGUUCAGACUCUCUGUCUGCUGUGAUGAGGCAGAUGAACACUCACACAAGGACACACACACCAUCUCCCAGGAUGUGUUUUCCUGCAGGUGGAUAGGCCUCCAGAGUUCUUCAGCACCCUGGCAUCAUACACAGAUACUCAACAAAGAUAUCAAGGUACUUACCAUGGUGGUGACCUGCAGCUGAACAGAAUGAAACCACUUCCUGUUGAAAUAACAUUGGGCUUCACUUGCUGGAGGUUCAGUUUGUAUGUGACAGCAAUCUAUUGUUCCAGCUACCAGAAGAAAAGCUGCUUCCACUGCCUCCAGGUCAUCUGUGGUGGAGAAGGCAAUCAGCCUCCUCAAAAUCCCCAUGACAGACCUGACCUGCUCAUUCUGUGCACAAUGUUAUGCAGCUCUUGGAUGUCGAAGGCCAGUGACAGCAGCCUGUAUGAUGCUGUUCACAGUCUGUAAAUAUGUAGUUUUUGUUUUUUAGAAUAAAAUUUCAAUAGGUUACACAUUUUUUUGCUGAUAUAUCUAUAUCUAACUAUAUAUAUUUAUAUAUGUGUGUAUAUUGUCUAUAAUGUAUAUAU